AUGGCCCAGAGCUGGUGUGCGAAGGGGACGCGGGCUGGUUUGCAGGGGCACAAGCUGUCGCUUGGGGGCUUGCUGCAUCCUGAUAACGUUGUGACCGACCCUGCCACCAUGGGAUGGGUCCCUGGGGUCCUGGGUAGCAGGAAGACCUGCGGCUUGCAGGAGCAUUGGGCUGCUCGUGGCCUCCUGCAACCCCGCGGAGACACCUGGGACACUGCUGGCCGCUGGGUAGGGACCCUGACCUGCCUGGGCCACCGAAACCCCGGCACUCUGGGGCUGAUCCAGCCAGGAGGGAGCAAGGCGCAAGCUGACGGCCGCACAAACCAUCUCUGCGCCUCCAGGAGGCUGAGAAAAAGCGAGAUGUCCCAGCGGGAUCUCCCUGAAGGAGCCAGCGAUCCAGCCCUCCCCAGGUCGCCCUCUCCGCCCUCCGCAAGAAGCGCCGUGUGCAGGGGGCAGAGGAAGACGGCGGCUGUGUUCGUACCCCGUUGCAGCAUCACCGCGCUGCCAAGUCCGAGGGGGCCAAGGCACUUUGCACAGCUCCAGGAAGGAUUUUUCACCCGGGGGACCAACUGCAGCGGGAGCGCAGCCAGGCUUUCCUGGGACACAUCUGCAACCCAAGGCGAGCCGGGGCAGCUGGCCUUCCUCCAACUGUCCCCGAGGAGGAACAAACCGGAGCGCUGCCCUGGCCAGGAAAUUGCAGCGUCGGCUGGCAACAUCCCCGGCAUUGCACAGCACRGGGCCUGCUGCCUUGGCAGGAGGCUUGCGAGGUGCUUUUCACGCAGGAAAGCGUGGUGGGUGAUGGGGACACCCUUGCAGGACCCUGGCCCUGCACACGCAGGUGGCUGGGGCAAGGAAUGCGGCAUACAUGGGAAAAGUGCUUCUCCCAAAGCAGGGUGCAACGCGGGCUCUGCAAAAGGUCCAGGCAGCAAAUCUGUGGCCAGAAAUGCAUCAUCUGGGUUAUUCUGUGGGAGUUUGCACUCAGAUUUUAUACUUUUUCCCUAUGGCAGAACUUGCCAUGGAGAAAGCACUGUCAAAAACCCCUGA
rnacentral:lncRNA from 1 species